rnacentral:rRNA from 1 species
CACGUAGGGUGCGAGCGUUGUCCGGAAUUAUUGGGCGUAAAGAGCUCGUAGGCGGUGUGUCGCGUCUGCCGUGAAAACCUGCAGCUUAACUGUGGGCUUGCGGUCGAUACGGGCAUCACUGGAGUUCGGCAGGGGAGACUGGAAUUCCUGGUGUAGCGGUGAAAUGCGCAGAUAUCAGGAGGAACACCGGUGGCGAAGGCGGGUCUCUGGGCCGAUACUGACGCUGAGGAGCGAAAGCGUGGGGAGCAAACAGG